CAGCAUGUCCCAACAAUAAGCGUGGAAAUAUGCUAAAUACACACAGGACUAAUGUGUCAUGGUUUGCAAAGUUACUGUGCUGUGUGUGUUAACUGGAAAAUGAAGUGCAUGAAGCCGAUUGGCUGAGCCUGCAAAGACCUGGGGAUUGAUUUGAUACUGUUUCUGUUCUGCUGCUGCAGAACCAGUUUGGACAAGUUUUCAGUUGCUGACUGAGUACUGCUGAUGAUGAGAGCAGUGUACUCAGAGAGAGGCCUUGCUAUUUUGAGGCCUAGUUUGCUGCUGAGAAAAGAGGGAGAAGAAACAGGACCGUAUUAUUCUCUGAAGCAGGCUUGUGGACUUCUGUGACUCUGGAGCAUGGGCACACAUAAGUGCUUCUAUUUAUCAUAAUCAAUCCACUACAUUAUGAACCAGACACUUUCAGACAAGGAAAUAUAUUAAUAUGGAGGCACAGAAUAAUUCUCAGAUUGCAUUCCUGGUUUCAAGAGUGUAUACCAACAGGAAAUGGUAAGGGGGAUGUGGGAGAAACGUUUUGUUUUUGCUAGCAAAAAAUGCAAGAAAGUUUCUGAAAUUAAUUGUUUUUUGUUUGAGGUGAAAAGCAGUAUAUUAAGAACAAAAUAAUACAAAUACUCCCAUAUUGUAUUUGUGUGUGUGUGUGGGGGGGGGGGGUUGUUUAUGUUUGUUUUUGGCAAACCAUCAUGAAAAAAUGAAGUGUUCUGGUCAUCAGCAAUUUGGCUGUAUUCACAAGAACUUGAAAUGACUUCCAUCACAUGAACACUGGGUUCCUCAUGGGUAAUGUUAAGCCCUUACCACUUUGCCAACUCCAAUUGCAACCUUCAUCCCAAUUCUUAAUGCAUAGGAAUUCCUUCUGAGAUUAAAAUAAACAAACAAAUUUCACAGUAAUGCCUGGUCUGGAUAUAAAAUAAUGAAUACAACUGGGGAGAUGAGGUGUUUUGUUGAUAGUAAGAGAAUUUUGUCUUGUACUGUCUGCUAUAUAUUUAUUUCUGUUAUCUUUCAGUAGGCUGAAUCAAUCUGUCUUUAAAUGCAGGCUUCCAUCAUCAAACAUACCACUGCAAAAAUGAAAAGAAAAUAAUUGUACUGGUGAUGUAUUCUACGAUGACAAUAUCCUUCUCUUGUCUCUGCUACAUUCUGUCUACUGCACUCAUAAAGAUGUUCAGGCAAACCAGGUUUAUCUUUUCACACAGGAAGCUGGCAAGGGAACUAUGAAGUCAGGGGAGAUGGCAACCUUCUGUUUUUAAUUGGACUGCCACUGGAGAGGUUCCUAAAUCCCACAUGACAAACCGUGGUAGAAAUUAAUUCAUGCUGAGCUGCAGGGAUACUGUCACAUGGUAUUUCAGCAGUAUGUGGGAUUCUCUUCUAUCAGGCACUGACUUGUCUGAACACAGACACACUGCAGGACAAAUGAACAAAAAAGGAACCUACAAUACUUCAGCAUCUUCAUUUCCCCGCCUACAUGAUAGUGUCUAGCUGACCACAUAUGAUGCUUCUCAACUCAUGUGGUGUCUGAUAUAGCUGUAGCCUGAGGGUAGAUGGUUUUCUCUUUGAUCGUUUUCUAAUGCCAGACAUAAAUAUUUUACUGCAAUCUAUUAAAUUAUAUGGAGAUUCCUAAUACUUUUGUAAUAACUAAACUCAUGCAUGAAAAGAGGCCUCUAAACUCCUUUUUAACAAUACAUACCUCUCAUUAAUUCGCUUUAUGACAGCAUGUUUAAAGUGUUGCCUGUUGAAGAAUAUUAGGCUUUUUAUGAUGCAACUGUUACAUAGUAAAACAUUAUAGAAAUCAUGGCAUUUGUGCUCCAAUUUGGAAAGCUGGAAUUUGGAGAAAACUGGAUGAUGUUGUGAUACUAAGACACAGCCCUAAUAGAUUGCCUUAAGAAAAGCACUGUACCACAAGCAGAGAGGAUGAUAGAUUAAACUGUCCUGCAGCUCAAGUUUUGUAGAUAACCAAUAACCUUAAUUAAACAAUUCUUGCUACUAUACUUGAAGAAAACCACAAUAAGACAUCUUUCAAGCAGUAGGGAUGGGUAGGAAAUUCAUUGGCUUCAUGCUGUAAUAUAAGACUAUCCAAUUCAGACUUCCUAGACUUGUUUUCAAGUUUCAGUCAGAAAUCCAUAUUUUGCAAGCUUGUGGCAUGAUUUUAAAAAAUCAACAAAAUGUGCUUUCUUUUGCAAAAUUACUCCUACUAGGCAUGUAUGAUCCAUGAAAAAAAUGGUUCAAUACUCGCUUCUAAAGUAGGGGGCGCUGGUGUUUCGUUUCUAAAACUACUUCCAAAUUUUGAUCCCA